GCCAGGUGCAGUGGCGCACGCCUGUAAUACCAGUAGCUUGGGAGGCUGAGGUAGGAGGAUCCUGAGUUCAAAGCCAGCCUUAGCAACAGCGAGGCACUAAGCAACCCAGUGAGACCCUGUCUCUA
rnacentral:sRNA from 1 species